rnacentral:rRNA from 1 species
UACGUAGGGUGCAAGCGUUAAUCGGAAUUACUGGGCGUAAAGCGUGCGCAGGCGGUUUUGUAAGUCUGUCGUGAAAUCCCCGGGCUUAACCUGGGAAUGGCGAUGGAGACUGCAAGGCUAGAGUUUGGCAGAGGGGGGUAGAAUUCCACGUGUAGCAGUGAAAUGCGUAGAGAUGUGGAGGAACACCGAUGGCGAAGGCAGCCCCCCUGGGUCAAAACUGACGCUCAUGCACGAAAGCGUGGGGAGCAAACAGG